GAUGAACGCUGGCGGCGUGCUUAACACAUGCAAGUCGAACGAGAAGUGGAGACGGAAACCUUCGGGCGGAAGACUUUACUUCGAGUGGCGGACGGGUGAGUAACGCGUGGGUAACCUGCCUCAUACAGGGGGAUAACAGUUGGAAACGACUGUUAAUACCGCAUAAGACCACAGCACCGCAUGGUGCGGGGGUAAAAACUCCGGUGGUAUGAGAUGGACCCGCGUUCGAUUAGCCAGUUGGCGGGGUAACGGCCCACCAAAGCGACGAUCGAUAGCCGAUCUGAGAGGAUGACCGGCUACAUUGGGACUGAGACACGGCCCAAACUCCUACGGGAGGCAGCAGUGGGGAAUAUUGCACAAUGGGGGAAACCCUGAUGCAGCGACGCCGCGUGAGUGAAGAAGUAUUUCGGUAUGUAAAGCUCUAUCAGCAGGGAAGAAAAUGACAGUACCUGAGUAAGAAGCCCCGGCUAACUACGUG
rnacentral:rRNA from 1 species